AUACUUACCUGCUUGAACGGUCCGGAGAUCAAGAGAACCGGGCCGUGGUGCUGGGGGACCUGCAUUGCACACACCGCGGCUGUGCCCCUCAUCGUAUGGUUGCUCCGCUGCGAGGCCGUACUGGGCUUAUUUUUGCUUUC
rnacentral:snRNA from 1 species